CUUAAAUGGGAACUAUAGUGAAAUGUUAAAGGAACAGUCCAGAAACUCAAAAUACAGCCCACUUUUUUUAUUGUUUGCAAAACUAAUGUUGCCAUUGAAUGUAGGGAAAACACAGCAUAAACAAUUUAUUAGUUUCACUUAAAGCAUCACUGUGGGUACAAUAACAAUUUCCUCUCAAUUAUAUCAUCAUGGUGUCUGGAGGUCCUGGGA